UACGUAGGGGGCUAGCGUUGUCCGGAUUUAUUGGGCGUAAAGAGCGUGUAGGCGGCCAGGUAGGUCUGCUGUGAAAACUCGAGGCUCAACCUCGAGACGUCGGCGGAAACCAUCUGGCUAGAGUCCGGAAGAGGAGAGUGGAAGUUCCUGGUGUAGCGGUGAAAUGCGCAGAUAUCAGGAAGAACACCCGUGGCGAAGGCGGCUCUCUGGGCAGUGACUGACGUGAGGCGCGACAGCGUGGGGAGCAAACAGG
rnacentral:rRNA from 1 species